rnacentral:lncRNA from 1 species
AAGUGUAACUGAGGGAUAGCAUAAAGAUUUGGAAAUGGAAAACAGAGAAAUCCUCAAAGUGGAAAGUUGGUGAAGGGAUGGGAUUAGGGUGCUUCCAUGUGCAGAUUAAUAAAUCAGAAAAAGUUGUUGCUUCCUGCUUCUAAACUGGGCAAAGCCCUCACCACUGGCUUCUCUGUGAGACCCUGUAGUUUUUUUCUUAGGGGAUUUUCCAAGCUAGGUAUCCUGAGCUCCAGUUUAUAGGUGAGACCAUCGAGUCUCAGAAAGGUUAACUAACCUGCCCCAGUUAACACUGCUGGGAGGUGGCUGAGCCAAUAAUGAAAUCCAGGUCUUUGGGUUCUAAGUCCAGUGCCUGCCAUAAAAGGAAUUUCUCCAGCCUGUUUCAGAGGCAGUGGCUGCCGUGCAAAUG